rnacentral:rRNA from 1 species
UGGGGAAUAUUGCGCAAUGGGCGAAAGCCUGACGCAGCGACGCCGCGUGAGGGAUGAAGGCUUCGGGUUGUAAACCUCUUUCAGCAGGGACGAAGCGCAAGUGACGGUACC